CCAUGUCUUUGUAACACUUAGCCCUGGGCAAAUCAGAGUAUGUGAGUGGAAGGAGGGCUCCACAUGGCUGGGAAGGCCUCAGGAAACUUACAAUCAUGGAAGAAGAUGUAAGAAAAGCAAAGACCUUCACACGGCAGCAGGAAACAGCGAGUUAGCAAGAGCAGGAAAGACUGCCUUACAAAACCAUCAAAUCUUGUGAGAACUCACACACUAUCACGAGAACAGCAUGGGAGAAACUGCCCCCAUAAUCCAAUCACCUCCCAACAGGUCCCUCCCUUGACACAUGAGAAUUAUGGGGAUUACAAUUCAAGAUGAGAUUUGAGUUUUAGAGCAAAACUGUAUCAAUGGUUUUGCAUCACAUAAUUUUUUACAGGUGUGUUCUGGAAUAGUUUCUAUAAAUUGAUCCAUUCUUGU
rnacentral:sRNA from 1 species